rnacentral:rRNA from 1 species
CUUGAACGCUGGCGGCAUGCCUUACACAUGCAAGUCGAACGGCAGCACGGGAGCAAUCCUGGUGGCGAGUGGCGAACGGGUGAGUAAUACAUCGGAACGUGCCCUGUAGUGGGGGAUAACCCGGCGAAAGCCGGACUAAUACCGCAUGAGACCUGAGGGUGAAAGCGGGGGACCGCAAGACCUCGCGCUAUGGGAGCGGCCGAUGUCAGAUUAGCUAGUUGGGGGUAAAGGCCUACCAAGGCGACGAUCUGUAGCUGGUCUGAGAGGACGACCAGCCACACUGGGACUGAGACACGGCCCAGACUCCUACGGGAGGCAGCAGUGGGGAAUUUUGGACAAUGGGCGCAAGCCUGAUCCAGCCAUGCCGCGUGCGGGAAGAAGGCC